GAUGAACGCUGGCGGCGUGCUUAACACAUGCAAGUCGAACGAAGCAUUACUGAUUGAGACUUCGGUGGAUUUUGGUAAUGACUGAGUGGCGGACGGGUGAGUAACGCGUGGGUAACCUGCCUCACACAGGGGACGAACAGUUGGAAACGACUGCUAAUACCGCAUAAGCGCACAGGAACGCAUGAUCCGGUGUGAAAACUACCGGUGGUGUGAGAUGGACCCGCGUCUGAUAGGUAGUUGGUGAGGUAACGGCCCACCAAGCCGACGAUCAGUAGCCGACCUGAGAGGGUGACCGGCCACAUUGGGACUGAGACACGGCCCAA
rnacentral:rRNA from 1 species